rnacentral:pre_miRNA from 1 species
AGUAGAAUUGCUGGGUAAUAUGAUGAUAACUCCAUGCUUAAUCUUUUGAGGAACUGUCAAACUGUUUUCCAUGACAGCUGGGCCAUUUUACAGUCUCACCAGCAGU